GACGAACGCUGGCGGCGUGCCUAAUACAUGCAAGUUGAGCGCUGAAGGUUGGUACUUGUACCAACUGGAUGAGCAGCGAACGGGUGAGUAACGCGUGGGGAAUCUGCCUUUGAGCGGGGGACAACAUUUGGAAACGAAUGCUAAUACCGCAUAAAAACUUUAAACACAAGUUUUAAGUUUGAAAGAUGCAAUUGCAUCACUCAAAGAUGAUCCCGCGUUGUAUUAGCUAGUUGGUGAGGUAAAGGCUCACCAAGGCGAUGAUACAUAUCCGACCUGAGAGGGUGAUCGGCAACAUUGGCACUGAGACACGGCCCAAACUACUACGGGAGACAGAAGAAGGGAAUCUUCGGCAAUGGGCGAAAGUCUGACCGAGCAACGCCGCGUGAGUGAAGAAGGUUUUCGGAUCGUAAAACUCUGUUGGUAGAGAAGAACGUUGGUGAGAGUGAAAAGCUCAUCAAGUGACGGUAACUACCCAGAAAGGGACGGCUAACUACGUGCCAGCAGCCGCCGUAA
rnacentral:rRNA from 1 species